rnacentral:rRNA from 1 species
AGCGAACGCUGGCGGCAGGCCUAACACAUGCAAGUCGAACGCGUGUAGCAAUACACGAGUGGCAGACGGGUGAGUAACACGUGGGAACGUGCCCUUCGGUUCGGAAUAACUCAGGGAAACUUGAGCUAAUACCGGAUACGCCCUUACGGGGAAAGAUUUAUCGCCGAAGGAUCGGCCCGCGUCUGAUUAGCUAGUUGGUGAGGUAACGGCUCACCAAGGCGACGAUCAGUAGCUGGCUGAGAGGAUGAUCAGCCACACUGGGACUGAGACACGGCCCAGACUCCUACGGGAGGCAGCAGUGGGGAAUAUUGGACAAUGGGGAAACCCUGAUCCAGCCAUGCCGCGUGAGUGAUGAAGGCCCUAGGGUU